UACGUAGGGUGCAAGCGUUAUCCGGAAUUAUUGGGCGUAAAGAGCUCGUAGGCGGUUUGUCGCGUCUGCUGUGAAAACUGGAGGCUCAACCUCCAGCCUGCAGUGGGUACGGGCAGACUAGAGUGCGGUAGGGGAGAUUGGAAUUCCUGGUGUAGCGGUGGAAUGCGCAGAUAUCAGGAGGAACACCGGUGGUGAAGGCGGGUCUCUGGGCCGAUACUGACGCUGAGGAGCGAAAGCGUGGGGAGCGAACAGG
rnacentral:rRNA from 1 species